CGUGUUCAGUGCAACCAUUGAAGAACGGGGCCUCAAGCCAAAUUGGGAAGAUCCAAUAUCCAGACUCUGUGACCUUUACCUGCAACAAGGGCUACAAUCUGAUUGGCACAAAGACAUCAAGCUGCACAGCAUAUGGCAAUCUGGCCCAACCUUCAUGUUCUGAUGUCAAUGAAUGUAUCACACCAGGAUUUGUUUGCCCCCAGAAUUCGAACUGUUUAAACAGCGACGGCAGUUACUCGUGUCCAUGCAAUACUGGAUAUAGAGAAAAUGGCUCACAAUGCAUCGGCAUUUUGGAAACGUAUUGUCCGAGCACUUGUUCAUGGAUUGCUAGCCGGGCACAACCCAUUUAUACCACGUACGAAGCAGCAGUACAGGAUUGUCAGCACCU